UCCUACGGGAGGCAGCAGUGGGGAAUAUUGCACAAUGGGCGAAAGCCUGAUGCAGCGACGCCGCGUGAGUGAAGAAGUAUUUCGGUAUGUAAAGCUCUAUCAGCAGGGAAGAAAAUGACGGUACCUGACUAAGAAGCCCCGGCUAACUACGUGCCAGCAGCCGCGGUAAUA
rnacentral:rRNA from 1 species